AUUUACUCUUUUCCAUCAGCAGCACGGAGUGAGCCAAGUUGAACCGGUGCUUGAGUCCCAACCACGUUUGAUGAUCCAUAAAGCGACACAUCACUGCCUUUGGCUUUCUCUUUCUCAAUCUGUUCCUUUAUCCAGAAGUAAGUUAUUCUAAGCCCCUCCUGAUCCACCACGAGUCACAUAAGGUGUCAGUCAAACUCUCAUCCUAUCUUUGAGCUUACUUAGAAUAAAAAUAAUAAUAAAGUUUUUUUGGUACCUUCAGUCUCAUUGUUGGAGCCCAACCAAGCUUCUCUUUGAUCAGAUUGUUGUCUGAAUUACGGCCACGAACACCUUCUGGUCCUGGAAUGUGGUGAAUCGGUAGCUUCUUCUCCUCAAAGCUCAGAAUCAUCUCAGCCAUCGCG
rnacentral:lncRNA from 1 species